CGCGGGGUGGAGCAGUUUGGUAGCUCGUUGGGCUCAUAACCCAAAGGUCGUUGGUUCAAAUCCAACCCCCGCAACCA
rnacentral:tRNA from 1 species